rnacentral:misc_RNA from 1 species
AACGGCUGGUUGGCACAGCCAUCGACGUUCCUGUUUGACAAGGAAGCUGGUGUAUUCGCACCUCAAGAACGGGUCACGUCGUAAACCACAAUAUCCCAACCCAGCGGCACGGUGCCGUGGGAAUCCUCGCGCUUCAGCGCGGGGAGGAUGUCAAGGGAGAGACAAAG